rnacentral:rRNA from 1 species
UGGGGAAUAUUGCACAAUGGGCGCAAGCCUGAUGCAGCCAUGCCGCGUGUAUGAAGAAGGCCUUCGGGUUGUAAAGUACUUUCAGCGGGGAGGAAGGGAGUAAAGUUAAUACCUUUGCUCAUUGACGUUACCCGCAGAAGAAGCACCGGCUAACUCCGUGCCAGCAGCCGCGGUAAUACGGAGGGUGCAAGCGUUAAUCGGAAUUACUGGGCGUAAAGCGUACGCAGGCGGUUGAUUGAGUCAGAUGUGAAAUCCCCGGGCUUAACCCGGGAAUUGCAUCUGAUACUGGUCAGCUAGAGUCUUGUAGAGGGGGGUAGAAUUCCAUGUGUAGCGAUGAAAUGCGUAGAGAUGUGGAGGAAUACCGGUGGCGAAGGCGGCCCCCUGGACAAAGACUGACGCUCAGGUGCGAAAGCGUGGGGAGCAAACAGG